GGGUACCUGGUGUAGUUGGUUAUCACGCUCGCUUAGCAUGCGAGAGGGGAGGAGUUCAAUUCUCCUGGCGUCCA
rnacentral:tRNA from 1 species